CUGGCUCAGAUUGAACGCUGGCGGCAGGCCUAACACAUGUAAGUCGAGCGGUAGAGAGAAGCUUGCUUUUCUUGAGAGCGGCGGACGGGUGAGUAAUGCCUAGGAAUCUGCCUGGUAGUGGGGGAUAACGUUCGGAAACGGACGCUAAUACCGCAUACGUCCUACGGGAGAAAGCAGGGGACCUUCGGGCCUUGCGCUAUCAGAUGAGCCUAGGUCGGAUUAGCUAGUUGGUGAGGUAAUGGCUCACCAAGGCGACGAUCCGUAACUGGUCUGAGAGGAUGAUCAGUCACACUGGAACUGAGACACGGUCCAGACUCCUACGGGAGGCAGCAGUAGGGAAUCUUCCGCAAUGGGCGAAAGCCUGACGGAGCAACGCCGCGUGAGUGAUGAAGGUCUUCGGAUCGUAAAACUCUGUUAUUAGGGAAGAACAAACGUGUAAGUAACUGUGCACGUCUUGACGGUACCUAAUCAGAAAGCCACGGCUAACUACGUGCCAGCAGCCGCGGUAAUACGUAGGUGGCAAGCGUUAUCCGGAAUUAUUGGGCGUAAAGCGCGCGUAGGCGGUUUUUUAAGUCUGAUGUGAAAGCCCACGGCUCAACCGUGGAGGGUCAUUGGAAACUGGAAAACUUGAGUGCAGAAGAGGAAAGUGGAAUUCCAUGUGUAGCGGUGAAAUGCGCAGAGAUAUGGAGGAACACCAGUGGCGAAGGCGACUUUCUGGUCUGUAACUGACGCUGAUGUGCGAAAGCGUGGGGAUCAAACAGGAUUAGAUACCCUGGUAGUCCACGCCGUAAACGAUGAGUGCUAAGUGUUAGGGGGUUUCCGCCCCUUAGUGCUGCAGCUAACGCAUUAAGCACUCCGCCUGGGGAGUACGACCGCAAGGUUGAAACUCAAAGGAAUUGACGGGGACCCGCACAAGCGGUGGAGCAUGUGGUUUAAUUCGAAGCAACGCGAAGAACCUUACCAAAUCUUGACAUCCUUUGACCCUUCUAGAGAUAGAAGUUUCCCCUUCGGGGGACAAAGUGACAGGUGGUGCAUGGUUGUCGUCAGCUCGUGUCGUGAGAUGUUGGGUUAAGUCCCGCAACGAGCGCAACCCUUAAGCUUAGUUGCCAUCAUUAAGUUGGGCACUCUAAGUUGACUGCCGGUGACAAACCGGAGGAAGGUGGGGAUGACGUCAAAUCAUCAUGCCCCUUAUGAUUUGGGCUACACACGUGCUACAAUGGACAAUGCAAAGGGCAGCGAAACCGCGAGGUCAAGCAAAUCCCAUAAAGUUGUUCUCAGUUCGGAUUGUAGUCUGCAACUCGACUACAUGAAGCCGGAAUCGCUAGUAAUCGUAGAUCAGCAUGCUACGGUGAAUACGUAACCGGGUCUUGUACACACCGCCCGUCAAG
rnacentral:rRNA from 1 species